rnacentral:rRNA from 1 species
AACAGGAUUAGAUACGAUGGUAGUCCACUCCGUAAACGAUGUAUACUAGCCGUUGGGGUCCUUGAGACUUUAGUGGCGCAGUUAACGCGAUAAGUAGACCGCCUGGGGGAGUACGGCCGCAAGGUUAAAACUCAAAUGAAUUGACGGGGGCCCGCACAAGCGGUGGAGCAUGUGGUUUAAUUCGAUGCAACGCGAAGAACCUUACCUGGUCUUGACAUAGUGAGAAUCCUGCAGAGAUGCGGGAGUGCCUUCGGGAAUUCACAUACAGGUGCUGCAUGGCUGUCGUCAGCUUGUGUCGUGAGAUGUUGGGUUAAGUCCCGCAACGAGCGCAACCCUUUUCGUUAUUUGCCAGCGGGUUAAGCCGGGAACUUUAAGGAUACUGCCAGUGACAAACCGGAGGAAGGCGGGGAUGACGUCAAGUCAUCAUGGCCUUUACGACCAGGGCUACACACCUGGUACAAUGGUAGGUACAGAGGGUUGGUACACAGCGAAGUGAUGGUAAUUUCAAAAAGCCUAUAGUAGUCCCGAUUGGAGUAUGCAACUCGUCUCCAUGAAGUCGGAAUCGGUAGUAAUAGCAGAUCAGAAUGUUGCGCAGAAUACGUUCCCGGGCAUGGUACACACCACCCGUCACACCAUGGGAGUAGAAUGCACCAGAAGUAGGUAGCCUAACGCAAGAGGGCGCUUACCACGGUGUGAUUCAUGACUGGGGGGAAGUAGUAACAAGGUACCGGUAGGGGAACCUGCGGCUGGAUCACCUCCUU